GAAGUAUUUUCACUAAAGCUCUCAGACGUUUAGUCCUCACUGUGUAUAUAUGUUUCAUUAAUGACAUGAGUUUAUUCAGAAUGCAUUGUGAUGUUUUAGUCUCGAUCGUAAGCUGCUGUGGAAAAACCAAAUCUCCAAACUGUGAUGUGAAGCUUCAAGAAGUCAGUGGAUCACAGAGUUGGUUACCAAAAGCGCAUAAUGAAAGCAGCUACACUGUGGUGGAGUUUAUUCCGUUUCACACUGUGAUGUAGCACACACACACACACACACACACACACACACACACACACACACACACACAUUGGUCAUUGUAUUUUUUUUCCAUAAGCUGUGCUACAUGAUUGCGGUUAUAGUCUGCACGCUAACGCUGUAACUGCCGAUUGCGGUUAUAGUCUGCACGCUAACGCUUCUCACACACGUCUAAGGUGUACAGCUCCAUCUUCCGCUUCUCAUUCUCAGAGUGUGACCUUCUGCAGUAAAAUUCUCACAUGAGUUUUUCUCUGCAUGAUCAAACUAAACCUCUGUCCAUGUUUCUCAUAUGUAGCUGCUGCUGCUGAUAGUGUAAUGUUUCAGAAGGGAAGAUGGCUGGAGCUUUACUGCACAUCUUCUCUUGCUGUCUUUGUAAGUGUUUAACACCAGGCCAUAAUGCCAUUGCAGAUCAAAUGUUUACUGAAUGAAGCGUGUGUUCUUUCAAGCAAAGGCUCACUUUCAAACCUGUACCUGUGUCACUGUGUCUUAUUUUAUUCUUCUGUAAGGAAUAACACACUCUGUGUGCUGCUGUUAUAGGGAAUUAAUCAGUGAUGGGCUGCUGUGAUGAAGAAUAUACACACACACACACACACACUCAUUCACAUCUAGGGCCAGUUUAUCUCAGCCAGUUCACCUACAGACAUGUUUUUCCACUCGUCCUCUAGUCUGUGAACAGAGGCAGGAAAAAAGAAAGGAACGCAGGAGUGUGUGUAUAAAACAGUGUAGCAGUGACUCCCCUGGUGUUUGUGGACUAGAAUAAUAAAAGAUUAAAAAAAAAAAAAAAAAAGAGUGAGUCUGUUAUUCCAGUUUGUGGAUUCAGAAUGUAUCUCUCAGAUAAAUGCAGAUAAAUGAACACAUUUAAGAGGAGCUGUUGAUGUCUUAUUGCUCAGUAAAGUGUUUUUUUUCGUCCGGCCCACUCGACAUUAGACUAAGUGUAACGUGAGCCGUUACCUAAAACGAGUUCGACACCCCGACCCUAACCAAUCCCCUAUACCAGAGAAACUAAACUGAAUGGAUUUAUAAUUGUUUAUCACUAAAUAAAUUCACUGUUUUUGUCAAAUCUCACCUAAAUGGUUUGGGGAUUUGAGAAGAUGUUUUUCUACAAAUAUAAUGUGAUUUCUGGUCUUUUCAUCAGGAAGAGAUAAAAAAAACUUGUGGUCAGAGUGAGUUGAACUGCCACUUCCCCUUCACUCCUGUAGCUCUAAAUUUCUUCUUGUCUGAAGCUUCCUUACUGACAAUUUACAGUUUGUGACCAGAGAUCAAGUUUCAUCAUGAAGAUCCUCCACAUUCACUUCUGUAAGUUUAUUUCCUUUAGCUAAAUCACUGAUCAUAUUUAAUGAAUACAUUCCUGAUUCAUGCAUUUGUGUAUUACUUCUUAACGAACAGCAAAUCACCACAAGUCAGGUUUUUUUUUUUUAAACUAGAUCUAGUUAUGUGCUGUGGAGCUGCAGAAAGUUUCACAGAGAAGUCGGUAGAUUUGGGACAAAAUGUGAUUCUAAAGUGUGAGGUGUCUGUAAAAGAUGUGUACUGGUUCCUGAUGAAGCCGUCAGAACCUCCACUGUUUAUAUUACGCUCUUUCUCAAGUAAAAGCCUGGAGGCAGAAUACAGUAACACGACCUUCAACAAGACUUUCUCACUGCAAUAUAACAGCAGUUUAUUUAUACACAACAUCAGUACUAAUGAAUUAGGAGUGUAUUAUUGUAUUCAAACUGGUUCACCUCCCGACAUCAGCAGUGGAAUCAGACUUUACAUCCAGAAUCACUCAGCUGAGAAUCAGACAGCAGAUAAAUGUGAAGACGCUGGACUCUGGCGAAGUCUCUUCAUCAUACUCGGAAUAAUAAUCUGUCUUGUUGUUGUUGGAGUCACAGUCUCGAUCGUAAGCUGCUGUGGAAAAAACAAAUCUCCAAACUGUGAUGUGAAGCUUCAGGAAGUCAGCGGAUCACAGAGUUGGUUACCAAAAGCGCAUAAUGAAAGCAGCUACACUGUGGUGGAGUUUAUUCCAUUUCACACUGUGAUGUAACAAACACGCACAUAAACACACAAACACACACACACAUUGUUCACUGUGUUUUUUUUUCCAUAAGCUGUGCUAAACGAUUGCAGUUAUAGUCUGCAUGCUAACACGUCUCACACACGUCUAAGGCGUACAGCUCCAUCUUCCGCUUCUCAUUCUCAGAGUGUGACCUUCUGCAGUAAAAUUCUCACACGAGUUUUUCUCUACAUGAUCAAACUAAACCUCUGUCCAUGUUUCUCAUAUGUAGCUGCUGCUGCUGAUAGUGUAAUGUUUCAGAAGGGAAGAUGGCUGGAGCUUUACUGCACAUCUUCUCUUGCUGUCUUUGUAAGUGUUUAACACCAGGCCAUAAUGCCAUUGCAGAUCAAAUGUUUACUGAAUGAAGCGUGUGUUCUUUCAAGCAAAGGCUCACUUUCAAACCUGUUCCUGUGUCACUGUGUCUUAUUUUAUUCUUCUGUAAGGAAUAACACACUUUGUGUGCUGCUGUUAUAGGGAAUUAAUCAGUGAUGGGCUGCUGUGAUGAAGCGUGUAAACACACACACAUUCACACACUCAUUCACAUCUAGGCCCAGUUUAUCUCAGCCAGUUCACCUACAGACAUGUUUUUCCACUCGUCCUCUAGUCUGUGAACAGAGGCAGGAAAAAAGAAAGGAACGCAGGAGUGUGUGUAUAAAACAGUGUAGCAGUGACUCCCCUGGUGUGUGUGGACUGGACUAAUAAAAGAUUUAAAAAAGAAAAAAGACUGAGUGUGUGUUGUUCCACUAGGGGGCAAACUGGAGCAAUAAACUCAGGGCUGUAAACUCAGCUACUGACAGAAUGUGCUAAUGAUGUAAUCCUUCAUUAACAAACUAAACAUUUAACCCUGUAACUGUGUCUCUUUCUAAAAGAACUAAAUUAAGGGUUUCACAGCAACCAGACACCAUAAAGCCAUCAUUUAGUAAUGAACUGCAGUGUGUUCAUGUGUUGUGUAGGAGAUAGAGUGUGUUCAGCUCAGUGUGUGGAUUCAGAAUGUAUCUCUCAGAUAAAUGCAGAUAAAUGAACACAUUUAAGAGGAGCUGUUGAUGUCUUACUGCUCACUAAAAU